AUGAACAACAGUUCAGAACCUCUCCUCUUCGUAUCGCUUCGUUCUUAUUUGUUCUCCUCUCAUCAUCGUCUUCGUUUCGAAAGGAAAGAUUGGAGAAGGCUUACUGACCGAAGUUUGUCUGACGCGUCUUCGAUUACGACUCAGGUGACGAGAAACCAGAGAAAAAUCAGGUUGCAGAAUCAGUUUUGUGAUGUUGCAGGGAGGUUUUCUUGUCGAUGUUCAAAUGGUUAUGCAAUCAUUAGCUUUGGUUUUGGAUUUUGUCAAUUAACAACAGUUGAAGCGAGAAGCUACUUGGAUCAUGGUGUUUAUUUUGGCCUGUUCGUGGGGCAUGGUGAUUAUAUGAAGAAUGGUAGUUGUGGGGACAUGUCUUGGAACAAGGGAUAA